rnacentral:tRNA from 1 species
UNGGUUGCGGCUCAGUGGUAGAGCACUUGCCUAGCAUGUAUGAGGCACUGGGUUUGAUUCUCAGCACCACAU